CACUCCAUUGAUGGUAAACAUAAUGCUCCGGAACGGCUAAGUACAGUCUAUGAUAAUACCAACAUAUUUUGCGAAGUAAUAUAUUUUCGUUUACUAUGGAAUAAUAUCAUAUACAAAAAGAGAAUAAGUCAAGAGAAAAUAACAUAAAAGUAUACAUUAAACUAGGGCUUAGAAAAAUAUCAAAAUCGGAAAAUCCAACUUAAUAUCGAAGAUAUAAAAUAUAAUAUUCAAAAUAGCUAAAAUACUCAAAAAAUACUUAGAGCUGUCAAAAAUGCCUGAAAGUAUUUAAAAACUGUCAAAAGUAAAUACUUAAAAUAUUAAAAAAAAAGAAGACUCAAAACAAUAAAUAUUUAGUGGUUUUUCCACUCUAAUAUCAAACGAACCAAAUUUCAUGAUAAUUUUAUGUAUUUAGUUAUACAUAAUUAUAACAUAUAAGAAUAUUACUUUUAUUUUGGGAUUUGAAGAUUUUAAAAUAUAUUUGGGUUUCAAUAAAAUAAAAUAAAAUAAACGGGUAGCAACCGAACCCGAACCAAAACUAAUAAAUAUCCAAAUAAAACUUAAAUCUCUAUAUCUUAAAACCCAAAAUCUGAAUAGCCAUAAAAUUAAACUCGAUCUAAUAUGAUGUCCACUCAUGCAUUAAAUUACAAUUAAAAUAAACUAGAAGUAUAACUCACAUUGCUUAUCUGCUCUUAAAAAUAAUUCUACAACAGAAUUCUUAUAGUGACGACCAUUAAGAUAUCUCUAACAACAUUAUAAUUAAAAAAAAAGAGCUUGAUUGUAAAAAAUAUGAAAACAAAUACGAACUAUAAUUUUUAAGUAAUAUAAAAACAAUUGUAAAAAAUGUAAAAAUAAUUACAAAAAUGUAUAAAUAACUCUAAAACUACAACAUAUUUUAUAAAAAAUGCGCACACCGACCCCUACCUUAAUAUACAAUUUAGUAAACACAGAUUACAAAUAGAUAUGCAAGACUUAUUAUAAACACUACAAGUAUUGAUCAUAACUAUAUAAAUGAUCUUUUAGAAAUAUGUAAAACUAAGAUAAAAUUAUACUUGAAUUGUACACAAAUUUUUUUAUAUAAUCAGAAGAGUUAAUCUUUUAAGCUAAAGAAUUAAAAUAUUAUCUUCACAUCAAAUUUUCAAAGAAACCGGCUAAAUUUAAUAAGAUUAUUAAAAUAUUAAAAAUAAACUAUAGAAUAAACUAACAUAUAACUUCUACACACCAACAUUCUUGAAAACCUUAAAUUUUAUAAUACAUUUCUCUUGCAAAAAACCCAUAGACCAUGUUCUAAAAUAAGAUACAAUUCUAUAGCUUCAUACAUCACAUAUAAAUCAUACCUCCGCGCGUAGCGCGGAUCGGCCCUAGUAUCAUAAAUAGGACACAUCAAUAAAAACAAAAAUAUGAUAGAGAAAAUUCACUGACUAAAAAUUCCUUUUGAUAUUAACGUCCCAAUAUUUUUUUUUAAAUUCUUUGAAAUAAUUAUUUGUUAACUCUUUUGUAAAAUCAUCACAAGGUAUGAUUUUGGUUGUUCUAUAAAAAAUUAUCUUUAAAAGCAGUGGAGUCGUCAGGAGAAAUCAGCAUCCAGCUAAGAAAUUCGAGUUUUGUGGGCGUGACACGUGUCGAGGUAAGGAAAAUGCGCCGUUUCAUUAACUGCAAUUGAUACGAGCUUUUAUGAAUGUGUUUGGGCCUCAAGUGUGGAUGAAGAAACCAGUCAACCAGCCCAAUAGAAAUCAACUUUAACGUUUAGGUUUAAGCGUCACCUUCCAUCCGACGUCGUACGAAUCCUUCUCAAUCAAGAACCAUAUAGCCAUUAAUGGAGUUUCAGGAAGAUGUUCGAGAUGUAUCUUCCUGAUGAAUCUUUGGAUCAAUUUUUUUUAUUAGUUUCUGGAUCUAGCUUUGUUCGCGUCCGUUCAUCUAAGAUUCUUCUCCUCUAAAACGUUAUGGAUACAUCAAUUCAUCGCCAUUAAGAAGCAUUUACUCCUUUGGACUACCACAUUCAAACAUUCAAUGCUUUGUAUUCCUCUUCCAGGCGGUGUUUAUAUACUUAAUCUUCUAAACAUCUCGCAAAGACGUUUCGACAUGCCCGUGACUAUUGAAUACAGUAUCACUUUCAAUAUAGAAGCUGUUUAAUGGCUAAAUCAUCGAUUCUUCUUGCAUAUUCUGAGACUGGAAGCUGUUCUUCCACCGUCAAGGAAUCCAUGACCAUAGCUAUAUCGGUUCACAUGAUCCAGCAAGACCCAAACUGUUCAUAUUCAUUGGUACAUCCAAUUCCUUCCUACAAAGGAAGGAGCAAGGAAGACAAUAAGACGACAGUAAACCAAAAUCGAGACUACUGUAUGUUUAGAUAAGCACUGGAUAUUGAAGAAGAAGCAUGAUAUGGAGGACUCCGGAAUGCAUGAAACCAUCUGUACUUUCUUACGGAUUUUGCUUUCUUUUUCCUCUCAUCUGUAGUCCAGAAGGUGUGGAGAGUUGAUGGGCGUGAAUCUGAUAAUGGUUGAUCAAAAGCCGCAGUCAACAAAGCAACAUAGCUUCUGUUCAGGCUCCGAGACACUGAAACCGCCGUCAUGUAUCCUAUGGCAUUCACAACCCUUCUGUAUUCAGAUCCAUGAUCAAUUUGAUGGGUAUUUCCAGGUGGUGGUGAUGACGGUGGCAGAGGAGGGGUUGCAGUGGUGGUGCUCAUGAAGAGCAUAUCGGGCAUGGAGAAUCAGAAGAUGGCGAGGGACCGGAGAAGAUGUGGAAUGGUUCGUCGACCAGUGACAUGGAACAGAUGGAUCUGGGACUAUUCUAAUGAUCACCACUAUUCUAUUUAACUGGGAUUGCUUUCAUACGUAAGUUGUUGUUUAUCAUAGUUUUAAGAAUAUUUGUCUGUGUUUAAGAUUUAAGAUUACACUUUUUGGUUUUAACCUUAUCACAAACUCAGUCCAAAACAUGGAGAAUUCUUUUUUACCAAAU